rnacentral:lncRNA from 10 species
AUGCAGCCUGAUAACACCUUCCCUCAGGCCUGCAGGGUUGUACCACUUGCUUCUUGACCUGGGUCUUCUCUGAUGUGGGAUGUUUCCAUAACUACAAAGUGAAAGUAGAGAAGGGGUUUCACCGUGGUCUCAAUCUCCUGACCUCGUGAUCUGCCCGCCUCGGCCUCCCAAAGUGCUGGGAUUACAAGCGUGACCCACCGCGCCCCGCCUGGAAAACUUUCAGUGAUCACCCAAGACAGUCGUGCUUUGUCACCCAAGCUGGAGUGCUGUAGCCCCAUUUGAGCUCACUGCAACCUCUGCCUCCCAGAUCCAAACGAAUCUCAUGCCUCAGCCACACAAAAGUAGCUGGGAUUACAGAUGGCGUCUGCCUUUGUUGCCCAGGCUGGAGUGCAGUGGUGCCAUUUCGGCUCACUGCAACCUCUGCCUCCAGGGUUCAAGGGAUUCUUCUGCCUUAGCCUCCUGAUUAUGACUUUUUUAAAGUUAUAGAAUACACUUAAGAACAACUGGAAGAAAUUUGAAUAUGUACCUCUAUUUGAUGUUACUAAGGAAUUGUUGUUAACUCCUUACAUAUGAUAAUGGAAUAGUAUGGCUGUAAAUGAACAUGUCCUCAUUCUUUAGGAGAUACAUCCUGAAGCAUCUUGAUGUCUUUCAUUGAUUUUCACAUAGUUUAUUUGAAAAAUACAAACACAUUUAUAGCUACAUUAAGCAAAUGUGGCAAAAGUUAACAGUUAUUGAAUUUAGAUGUUGGGCAUAUGGAUGUUCAUUGUUCAUUUAAACAUUUCAGUAUUUACAAAUGUAUAAUAUAAAUUUGGAAACAAAAGAAAAAUGACAUAUGUGUUUUGUGUGUGUGAUUCUAUUUGUGUAUAUGUAUGUGAGUUAAUCUCCAGAAAUUCAAUAAAAAUCUUUGUCUCAGAAU